rnacentral:lncRNA from 12 species
GGCGUGUGUCCAGGCCAGGGCCCUGGGUGCACACAGUCCUUCCCUGGAGCCUGUGGACAGGGGUGUGUUGUGUCCCUGUGUGCACAUACCAUUGCCUGCAGGGAGUGGGGGCGUCGGCAGCACGAGCACUGCCCCUGCAGCUUCCUCCAGGAGUGGGUUAGGGAGCGGGUCCCAGGAAGUGAGGUCACUUCCGUGUCACAGAGCCUAACAGAACUUGGAACCCCCCCAACCAGGCACAUGCAUCCAGUGCAGCCCCAGCUCAGGCUCACUUGGCUGGAGACAUCUGCUACUGAAGGAUGUUCUCUUGCUGCCAGCCCACCUCUGGGGGCUCUGGUUCCCAGAAACCCCAGGGGUGCGGCUUGUUCCAAUGCUCUAGGCAUUGGCUCCAGCAUAGAUACCAAGGCGUCAGGGCGGUGAUCAGGAGGCGCCGUCAGAGCUCCACCCGGGACGUGGGGCGCGAGCGGGAGGAAGGGGUCGUCUGCCCCACCGCCUCCAGGAGCAGGGAGGUGCCCUGCGCAGCUAACAGAGGCCAGCGCGGGGCUCAGGGUGAGUGCAGAGGCUGGGACCCCCGACACCCGGGCCCUGAUGCGGGAGGAAGGGCACCGGGUCCCAGAAGCCAGCCUGCUACCCCCUGGGCCCCCCGACACUCCUGCUCCCACAUGAGUCUGGAUCCCCCCUCCCCACACCUGCCCCCAUGGCCCUGCCCCUGCCUGGGCCAGAUGCAGAGUCCCUGCGCACAGAUGUGUGGGAAUAUCAGAAUAG